UACGUAGGGACCAAGCGUUGUUCGGAUUUACUGGGCGUAAAGGGCGCGUAGGCGGCGCGGUAAGUCACUUGUGAAAUCUCUGAGCUUAACUCAGAACGGCCAAGUGAUACUGCAGUGCUAGAGUGCGGAAGGGGCAAUCGGAAUUCUUGGUGUAGCGGUGAAAUGCGUAGAUAUCAAGAGGAACACCGGUGGCGAAGGCGGUUCUCUGGGCAUUACCUGACGCUGAGGAGCGAAAGUGUGGGGAGCGAACAGG
rnacentral:rRNA from 1 species